rfam:Nicotiana attenuata strain TT chromosome 2, whole genome shotgun sequence.
UGGACAGAUUAUUGUAUUCGACUGUAUUCGACUCUAUUCAUGGUGUGAAAUAGAGGAUUACACUGUUUUAAACGAAAAGUGAAUCAAUUAACAUAAUCGACUCCU